rnacentral:misc_RNA from 1 species
GAUGAAGAACGCAGUGAAAUGCGAUAAUUAAUGUGAAUUGCAGAAUUCAGUGAAUCAUCGAGUCUUUGAACGCACAUUGCGCCCCCUGGUAUUCCGGGGGGCAUGCCUGUCCGAGCGUCAUUGCUGCCCUCAAGCACGGCUUGUGUGUUGGGCUUCCGUCCCUGGCAACGGGGACGGGCCCAAAAGGCAGUGGCGGCACCAUGUCUGGUCCUCGAGCGUAUGGGGCUUUGUCACCCGCUCCCGUAGGUCCAGCUGGCAGCUAGCCUCGCAACCAAUCUUUUUAAUCAGGUUGACCUCGGAUCAGGUAGGGAUACCCGCUGAACUUAAGCAUAUCAAUAAGCGGAGGA